UGCCGCGUGCGGGAAGAAGGCCUUCGGGUUGUAACCGCUUUUGUCAGGGAAGAAACGCUCUGGGCUAAUACCCCGGGGUAAUGACGGUACCUGAAGAAUAAGCACCGGCUAACUACGUGCCAGCAGCCGCGGUAAUACGUAGGGUGCAAGCGUUAAUCGGAAUUACUGGGGCGUAAAGCGUGCGCAGGCGGUUCUGCAAGACAGAUGUGAAAUCCCCGGGCUUAACCUGGGAACUGCAUUUGUGACUGCAGAGCUGGAGUGCGGCAGAAGGGGAUGGAAUUCCGCGUGUAGCAGUGAAAUGCGUAGAUAUGCGGAGGAACACCGAUGGCGAAGCAAUCCCCUGGGGCCUGCACUGACGCUCAUGCACGAAAGCGUGGGGAGCAAACAGGAUUAGAUACCCUGGGUAGUCCACGCCCUAAACGAUGUCAACUGGUUGUUGGAAGGGUUCCCUUUCAGUAACGAAGCUAACGCGUGAAGUUGACCGCCU
rnacentral:rRNA from 1 species